ACGGCUCAGUAACACGUGGCUAACCUGCCCUCGGGACGAGAACACCCCCGGGAAACUGGGGCUAACUCUCGAUAGGCGAAGAACUCUGGAAUGAGUCUUCACCCAAAAGACGUUUAGAUCAUGCUUUUAGGCGUCGCCCAAGGAUGGGGCCGCGACCGAUCAGGUUGUUGGUGAGGUAAUGGCUCACCAAGCCUUUAACCGGUGCGGGCCGUGGGAGCGGGAGCCCGGAGAUGGGCACUGAGACAAGGGCCCAGGCCCUACGGGGCGCAGCAGUCGCGAAAACUUUGCAAUAAGCGAAAGCUUGACAGGGCUAUCCCGAGUGCCAUCCGCUGAGGAAGGCUUUUACCCAGUCUAGUAAGCUGGGGGAAUAAGGAGAGGGCAAGUCUGGUGUCAGCCGCCGCGGUAAUACCAGCUCUCCGAGUGGUGUGGAUGUUNNNNNGGGCCUAAAGCAUCCGUAGCUGGCUGAGUUAGUCCCCUGUUAAAUCCACCGAAUCAAUCGUUGGAUUGCGGGGGAUACUGUCGGCUAGGGGACGGGAGAGGCAGACGGUAUUUUCGGGGUAGGGGUGAAAUCCUAUAAUCCCGGGAAGACCACCAGUGGCGAAGGCUGUCUGCUAGAACGCGCCCGACGGUGAGGGAUGAAAGCUGGGGUAGCGAACCGGAUUAGAUACCCGGGUAGUCCCAGCUGUAAACGAUGCAGGCUAGGUGUUUGGGCGGCCACGUGCCGCUCUAGUGCCGCAGGGAAGCUGUUAAGCCUGCCGCCUGGGGAGUACGAUCGCAAGAUUGAAACUUAAAGGAAUUGGCGGGGGANCAC
rnacentral:rRNA from 1 species